UGUAAUCUUCCUUUUGUUGGAGUCCUCCCCAAACCAUCGUUCAGUGACUGUUGUGCUGUGCCGGCCAAAAUGCCGAAGCACCACGACUUGGAGCAUAUGGCUGCGUUUCACGAAAAGUAGCACGGGAUGUCACCAAGGGUUUUUGUAAGUUUUGCGACACAACUGAGAGCAGAGAGAAAGACAAAAGUCACACGACGACCAUGAUUUCGAGUGCUCGCUUGAACCGUACAUGGCCCUUUGGGACUGCGUCCGGCCAAUUCCCCUCCAAGCUCGCCAGGUUCCAGACAGAGCCAAGUGCAGAGCAACCAAUAUCAAGACAUUUUCAUACCCCAGUGCAGCAAGUGCGAUAUGACAAGUGGGAGAUGAACAUGGAAUCAGAUGCUGUGUUUUUUUUUUUUUUUUUUUUUUUUUCUCUCAAAGCUUUCUAGGCUUCUUUGAAAGAUGUUUCUGGUUUAAUUUAGCAUUUUUCUCUUUGGCA
rnacentral:lncRNA from 1 species